rnacentral:piRNA from 1 species
UUGUAAUAGGUCCCUUCUUGAUCAGUGGG